rnacentral:rRNA from 1 species
UACGUAGGGGGCUAGCGUUGUCCGGAAUCAUUGGGCGUAAAGCGCGCGUAGGCGGCCCGGUAAGUCCGCUGUGAAAGUCAAAGGCUCAACCUUUGAAUGUCAGCGGAUACUGCCGGGCUAGAGUCCGGAAGAGGCGAGUGGAAUUCCUGGUGUAGCGGUGGAAUGCGCAGAUAUCAGGAGGAACACCAACGGCGAAGGCAGCUCGCUGGGACGGUACUGACGCUGAGGCGCGAAAGCUAGGGGAGCAAACGGG